ensembl:lncRNA
CAUCUGUAACUGCUUGGUUCCCAGAUGGAAGCCAACAGAAGUUCUCUCUGCUGUCAGCCCAGACACAUGAUGUCUUUGACAGAUCUUUUGCUAAAAACAGAACUUGCUGUUUCCAAGGAGCAAUGGAAGGGACACUGGAAGCAGAAUGCCGAUUCCAGAGGGUGUGGAGACCACAUGCAGAUGAUCUCAGUGUGUGGGUGCCAGCUGCGGAGAUGUUGGGGACAGGCUGGGCUGAGAGCUCCAGAGGCAACGAGUGGAAGAAGGAACAGAUCUCACUUUGAAAUUUUAGAUACCUUUCCUCCAGAAGUUGUCCAUUCCCAUAAAAAUCACCAGGUGCUGACGGAACUUUACCUCAUUCCUCAGACAGCACAGGUGGAAUCGGAGGAGAAGCAUCAUCCCAUCUUUCACCAAUGAGCCUACUUUGGUCUGUCACGUUGGCAACCUUCAAGCACUUCAGCACAUUGGCAUAACUGCCGUGGACAGCUGGGCAUCAGCACACAUCUCAGCAGCACCCUGGAGCCGAUGCCAGCCAGCGUGGUGCUCUCACUUCCUCCGUAAUCCUUGCCAGCUCUGAGAAAGUGCCAAGCAUUGCCAGCAGCUGCUUUGAUGCCUUGUAGACAUGUAGGCUGGAUUUGUUAGCUUCUUAUCAGCUUACAAAUGACUUUGACAAAUUUUCUUCUUUGAUUUUCUUUUUCCUUUUGAAGGAAUGUUUGGAUUCCUAGUGCAUAGUCUUGUUUAUAUACCAAUUAAAGCAGGAAGCAAUUAUCAUCAAUUAUCAUGUGAGACUAGCUACUGUCUUGUAAUUACU